UGGGGAAUAUUGGACAAUGGGCGAAAGCCUGAUCCAGCCAUGCCGCGUGUGUGAAGAAGGUCUUCGGAUUGUAAAGCACUUUAAGUUGGGAGGAAGGGUUGUAGAUUAAUACUCUGCAAUUUUGACGUUACCGACAGAAUAAGCACCGGCUAACUCUGUGCCAGCAGCCGCGGUAAUACAGAGGGUGCAAGCGUUAAUAGGAAUUACUGGGCGUAAAGCGCGCGUAGGUGGUUAGUUAAGUUGGAUGUGAAAUCCCCGGGCUCAACCUGGGAACUGCAUUCAAAACUGACUGACUAGAGUAUGGUAGAGGGUGGUGGAAUUUCCUGUGUAGCGGUGAAAUGCGUAGAUAUAGGAAGGAACACCAGUGGCGAAGGCGACCACCUGGACUAAUACUGACACUGAGGUGCGAAAGCGUGGGGAGCAAACA
rnacentral:rRNA from 1 species